AAUUAGCGGGUUUGGGUUGAGAUUUUCAACCCGAUUAGUUAAAUGGGUCGACCUGAACCCGACCUGAAAGUUAAAUGGGUCAGGUUCAGGUCGAAUUUUCUGACCUGAAAUUGACCCGCUUGACCUGAUUUGUAAAUGGGUCAAAAUCAGGUCGGGUCAACCCGUAUAACUUAACCCGAAUAAUUUAAUUAAAAAGACAUUUUCCAGCCCAAAGAUGUUGGGCCCAUAAAUUAAUAUCAGCCAAAAAAAAAAAGGAACCCUAAAAAUCUACCUCCUGUCCUCACUCCUCACUGAGCCGACAUCACUCACUAAAUUUCUAACCCUAAUUUCUCUCUCACUCUCUCUGUCUCUCACUCUCUCACUCUCUUUCUUCGUCGCCGCUACAACUCGCCGACAUCUACUCUUCACGAGUACUAUUAGCAACAACACUACAACAGUCCGAAUUUCUUCAACUGGUGGAAGCCGAACAAAUCACAGAAAUUCAAUCGAGAAAUUUCGUCUUCGUCUUCGUUGGUCUUCUACUCUUCUUCGUCUUCUUCAACAUUCAGCUUAAUAUGGCUGAUGAAGACUUCAAGGAGCAGAUUGAGCUCUCAUCAGAGGCAGAGGAGGAGAUUGACUCCGCUCGUACAAAUGCUAAUAAGGAUUUGGUUUUGUGAACUUGUGGUUGUUUAACUCUAAAACAUUAAGGAUUUGGUUUGUAAUAUUUGGUUGGUAAUAUUUUUAAGUAUGAACUUGGUACUUAGUAGUUAGUAUUAUAUAUGUUAUUGCCAAGUAUGAACUUGGUUGGCUAA